GGGUGCUUGGCUCAGUUGGUUAGAGCGCCUCGUUUACACCGAGGAUGUCACAGGUUCGAGUCCUGUAGCGCCCA
rfam:Treponema sp. GWC1_61_84 gwc1_scaffold_22, whole genome shotgun sequence.